rfam:Candidatus Harrisonbacteria bacterium RIFCSPLOWO2_02_FTLL_41_13b rifcsplowo2_02_scaffold_727, whole genome shotgun sequence.
AUUUUUGAGGAUUUGAUCCUGGUCCAGGAUGAACGCUGGCGGCGUGGAUAAGGCAUGCAAGUCAUACGGACAGAGUUUAAGAUUAUAUCAAGGACUCUGUUAGUGGCGAACGAGUUAGUAACGCCUUGGUACGUACCCCGAAGACGGAAAUAACUCGCCGAAAGGCGGGCUAAUAUCCGAUAGCAUCGUGCUUCACUAUUGUUCAGCACUUUUAGCGAUUAGCGACUAGUAUUUAGCGACUAGUGAAAUAAAAUUUUUCUAGUGGCUAGUCACUAGUGGCUAAUGACUCGAGUGGCGAGCGGUAGCGAGGCACGAUUAAAUCUCGCAAGAGGCUUUGGGAGCGACCUAGGUCCGAUCAGCUAGUUGGUAGGGUAAUGGCCUACCAAGGCUAUGACCGGUAGGGGAGCUGAGAGGCUGUUCCCCAACGACGGAACUGAGAUACGGUCCGUACUCCUACGGGAGGCUGCAGUCGAGAAUAUUCGACAAUGGGCGAAAGCCUGAUCGAGCGACGCCGCGUGCAGGAAGAAGGGCUUCGGCCUGUAAACUGCUUUUUUGUUUCAAAAAGUUAUUGAUUAGAACAAGAAUAAGGGGCUGCAAACCUCGUGCCAGCAGCAGCGGUAAUACGAGGGCCCCGAGCGUUAUCCGGAUUUAUUGGGCGUAAAGAGUGCGUAGGAGGUCUGAUGCGUCUUUUGUUAAAUUCCAGAGCUUAACUCUGGAGCCGCAGGAGAUACGGUCAGACUAGAGGAUACCAGAGGUUGAUGGAACACAUGGUGUAGGGGUGAAAUCCGUUGAUAUCAUGUGGAACACCGAAGGCGAAGGCAAUCAACUGGGGUACUCCUGACUUUUAAGCACGAAAGCGUGGGGAGCAAAAAGGAUUAGAUACCCUUGUAGUCCACGCCCUAAACGAUGUCGGCUAGCUGUUUCGAGUAUCGACCCUCGGAGUGGCGAAGCUAACGCAUUAAGCCGACCGCCUGGGAAGUACGGCCGCAAGGCUAAAACUCAAAGGAAUAGACGGGGACUCGCACAAGCGGUGGAACAUGUGGUUUAAUUCGAUAGUAAACGAAGAACCUUACCAGGGCUUGAAAUCCAAACGAAAGGUUGCUGAAAGGCAAUCCUUCUCUCAAGGACGUUUGGACAGGUGUUGCAUGGUUGUCGUCAGCUCGUGGCUUGAGUUGUUCCCUUCAGUGGGGUAACGAGCGCAACCCUUGCCUCAAGUUAUUUUGUCUUGAGGGACUGCCGAGUUUUACUCGGAGGAAGGUGAGGAUGACGUCAAAUCCGCAUGACCCUUUGAUGCCCUGGGCUACACACGUGUUACAAUGGCCGGUACAAUAGGUUGCCAAGCCGUAAGGCGGAGCUAAUCCUAUCAAAACCGGCCUCAGUUCAGAUUGAGGGCUGAAACUCGCCCUCAUGAAGUCGGAAUCGCUAGUAAUCGUGGGUCAGCUAUACCACGGUGAAUACGUUCUCGAGUCCUGUACUCACCGCCCGUCACUGCAGGGGAGCCGGGAAUAGCCGAAGUCCAGUUAUGCUGGGUCAAGCUAGGUUCGGUGACAUGGCAGAAGUCGUAACAAGGCACGCGUAGCGGAAGCUGUGCGUGGAUUAUUUACAUU